UGGGGGAUAUUGCACAAUGGGGGGAACCCGUGAUGCAGCGACGCCGCGUGGGUGAAGGAGCGUUUCGGCGCGUAAAGCCCUAUCGGCAGGGAAGAAGAUGACGGUACCUGACCAAGAAGCCCCGGCUAACUACGUGCC
rnacentral:rRNA from 1 species